rnacentral:misc_RNA from 1 species
ACAAAUCUCCAAUGAUUUUCUGUUUUCAAGUCUUUCACUUCAUCGCAAUUGAACCUUCUAAUUUCGCACAUUUUGACUUGGAGUGUUUUCAUCUUGAAUCAAAAUCGAAUGAUUUUGUACCAAUAAAUUUCUGGAUCGUUAGAUCGAGAGUGCUUAACUGCAGGAACAGGAAAAAAUCGAUUUGUGAUUCGUUAAUUAUUUAUUAGAUUCGAGCUUGUUCAAUAGGAAAGUGAGAUUUUGAUGAGAUUUCCCUUUUUACAUAGGGAUGCUGUGCAUCGGCUACUUGGGAGAGGGGAAGGUGUCAGCAUGCUUAUCUAGCUGAGUUGUUGGGAAAUCAAAAUCUGUAUUUGUACUACUUUCAAUGGGUGAUCACAAUGCUAAUGUUCGGCCUUCUAAUAGCAAGUCUUCAGGGGCCACCAAUCCUUAUUCUAUAGAUUUGGAUAACUUCACUAAGCGGUUGAAACUGUUAUAUUCACAUUGGAGUGAACACAACAGUGACCUGUGGGGUGCUUCUGAUGCUCUUGCUGUAGCAACACCUCCGCCUUCUGAGGAUCUGCGGUACCUGAAGUCAUCGGCACUGAAUAUUUGGUUGGUUGGUUAUGAGUUUCCAGAGACCAUUAUGGUCUUCAUGAAGAAGCAGGUUCAUUUCUUAUGCAGUCAGAAAAAGGCUUCUCUGCUUGAUGUUGUGAAGAAAUCUGCCAAGGAUUCUGUUGGGGUUGAAGUUGUGAUGCAUGUGAAGGCCAAAAGUGAUGAUGGAAGUGGCUUGAUGGAUAACAUUUUUCGUGCUGUCCAUGCUCAGUCAAACUCUAAUGGUCAUGAUACUCCUGUCAUCGGGCACAUAGCAAAAGAAAGUCCUGAAGGGAAGCUUUUGGAGAUAUGGGAUGGAAAGUUAAAGAAUGCAAAUUGUGAGUUAAGUGAUGUGACAAAUGGGUUCUCAGAGUUGUUUGCUGUCAAAGACAACAUUGAGCUUACUAAUGUGAGGAAAGCAGCAUUCUUGACUUCAUCAGUCAUGAAGCAGUUUGUGGUACCAAAGCUCGAAAAGGUGAUUGAUGAGGAGAAGAAGGUCUCCCAUUCUUCAUUGAUGGAUGACACAGAGAAGGCAAUUUUAGAACCUGCUAGAAUUAAGGUGAAGCUGAAGGCAGAGAAUAUUGACAUAUGUUACCCUCCAAUUUUUCAGAGUGGGGGAGAAUUUGAUCUGAAGCCAAGUGCUGCAAGCAAUGAUGAGAAUCUUUACUAUGACUCCACUAGUGUGAUUGUAUGUGCAAUUGGAUCCCGAUACAAUAGCUACUGCUCAAAUGUUGCUAGAACUUUUUUGAUUGAUGCCAAUUCCAUGCAGAGCAAGGCAUAUGAAGUCCUGCUUAAAGCCCAAGAAGCAGCAAUCGGUGCAUUGAAAUCUGGGAACAAAGUCAGUGCUGUUUAUCAAGCAGCACUUGCUGUAGUUGAGAAGGACGCACCUGAAUUGGCUGGAAGCUUGACUAAAACUGCAGGAACUGGAAUUGGCCUUGAGUUUCGUGAGUCAGGACUUAGUCUUAAUUCCAAAAAUGAUCGAAUUUUGAAACCUGGAAUGGUUUUCAAUGUGUCACUUGGCUUUCAGAAUUUGCAGACAGAGACUAAAAACCCAAAGACCCAGAAAUUUUCAGUGUUGCUCGCAGAUACAGUGAUUGUUGGUGAAAAGCUCCCUGAUGUAGUAACUUCAAAGUGUUCCAAAGCUGUCAAGGAUGUGGCAUAUUCAUUCAAUGAUGAUGAUGAUGAAGAAGAAG